GAUGAACGCUGGCGGCGUGCCUAAUACAUGCAAGUCGAGCGAACAGACGAGGAGCUUGCUCCUCUGACGUUAGCGGCGGACGGGUGAGUAACACGUGGAUAACCUAUCUAUAAGACUGGGAUAACUUGGGGAAACGGGGGUUAAUACCGAAUAAUAUUUUGACCGGCAUGGUUCAAUGUUAAAAUAGGGUUUUUCUUUCACUUUUAGAUGAUUCCGCGCCGCAUUAGCUAGUUGGUAGGGUAACGGCUUACCAAGGCAACGAUGCGAAGCCGACCUGAGAGGGUGAUCGGCCACACUGGAACUGAGACACGGUCCAGACUCCUACGGGAGGCAGCAGUAGGGAAUCUUCCGCAAUGGGCGAAAGCCUGACAGAGCAACGCCGCGUGAGUGAUGAAGGUCUUCGGAUCGUAAAACUCUGUUAUUAGGGAAGAACAAAUGUGUAAGUAACUAUGCACGUCUUGACGGUACCUAAUCAGAAAGCCACGGCUAACUACGUG
rnacentral:rRNA from 1 species